UUUGCAGGUACCUGCUUUGUAAACUCAGAGACUGAUGCCAAUGGAAAGUCUAAUGAUGUUCCACAAAAGUGACGCUGUAACAGAAGACUUGCAAGAUCCAGGUGUACUGUGUCUGAGACUGCCCAUGCAUGUCACAACAAGAGAGGCAUUGCUGUGCUAAUUCACUUCCUCGAAACCUUAAGGAAAUGACAGACUGGAUAUAGUCUUCACCACAUGCGUUUAAACUAAGAUGAACUGUAGGUAUUGGACACACUUCUAGUUAUUGGAAUUGUUCCAUUGUUUUUUAAUCUGUGCCAGGAUGAAAAAAAAAAUUCUGAGAAGGCUUUAUCUGUCCUGUGGGUGGUUGUGUAGAGAUUCCACCCAGCAUGGCUGAGCCUGGACUAACACAGGUAAUGAGUAAAAGAAAGAAAAAGGAAAAUUUUGGCAGAAGAGAAGUGAUACUUAAACAGGUAAUGAUGUAUGAAAAAAAAGAACAUCUAAUUUUCUUAGCUGUUUUUUCAGAUGUAGUGCCAAGUGAUGGCCACUGCUGAAAGAAAUAUCUGGAUUUUUUUUUUCUGCUGAGAAGGGUAUUUGAAUGAAGCUGAACCCUAAGACUUACCCAAGAAGUUGCUGUGGAUGGUUUGGGGAAGAUAUCAACCAGCAUCCCUUGAUGAUGAUGAUACUUUUAGCUGAAGACUUGCCUGAGUAACAGUGGUUUGUAAUUACCAUUUGGACUGUGUUUUUUUGUUUUGAUUUUGGUUUUCUUACUUUUACACUGAACUGGACUUACUGUUCCUGGCAGUUGGCAACUGAUGUACUGGAUUGCUGUAAACCAGGAUGUGGCCUGUUAAGAAAAGAAACUACAGGGAUUUAAGUGGAGAGACAAUAAAAGAAGAGGAGAAAUAUUCACGGAUAAAGAGGAGGAAAAA